GGUAGAAAAUGGCGCAAAUUAACUAAAGUGCAAUAAAAAAUUCGUAUUUUUCCAUAAAUUAAGUAAGCAUGUUCUGGCAUCAAUCUUGAAAAUAUCUCCAGAGCACAGUGAAACAUUUUUCCAAAAUGCAUUACAAAAUUCAUAACAUUUGAACAAAAUGAGAAAAUCGAAUAAUAAAAAACACAUGAAAGAGAAUUUAUGCAACUUUAAAGUGAGGGCUUAGUCAUUUUUAAAGGUCAACAGGAUCUGCUUUUAAAAGGCAACUUAGUCAACAAUUUAUUACGAUAAUUUAGAAUAAUUAGCAUUUGAAGUGGAAACCCAACCCUUUUCAAUAAAAUUUCGAAAUAUAUAUGUUGCAAAUAUUUUUAAAGAUUUUAAGUGGAGCAAUGCGGAGUAUAUCCAAAACAAUUUAAAAUUUAGGACCUAACUGAUAUCAAUGAUAUUAACAAAUACUUGAUUGUGGUUAGCUUAGGAAUUAAGGCGUAUAAAAAAAAACAACCAAUCUCAAUACUUUCCCAAACUUUUUACUCAAAAAACCAAAAAAAAAAGCACUUCCUUGAAAAAGUUGACUAACUAUAAAGACAAAACAACAAAACCAAGUUAUCAAAUAAAGAUUUGUCUGAUCCUUUGGGACUACCCUUAUCGAUGUUUCCAGAUAACGGCCCACUGUGCGGCGUAACAAACACGUAUUACAUAAUAUCAAAUUGUUGUGACAUGCAGAUUUCAUGCUGUUCCCCAGAUGAAGAGAAAUAUGCCGCCCAUCACCAUGCCAAAAAUGAGGAAGUCAAGCCAGCUGGGGGCGUCGAAGCGGAGCCGUGCAGGGAAGCUGUAACCACAUGCCAGGUAAAGCUGUCAGGAGUACGUGAAGCUUCAGCUGGCAUAUGGCAUUAGAAUUAAAGCAACAGCAAUGGGCGGUUAGCGAUAAGCCCCAACAACAAUCAGAAGCACACAUUUAGCUGCCGUUGGGCGGCAAGGCUGGGAAAUUGUAAACUGGAAAAUUUCGUGUGAAAAUGAAAACCACUUAACUGUAAUAGCAUGGGCAUAAGAAAUACUCAAAUGCUUGAAACGCCACGCAAAUUGCGGCAAAAAAAUGGAAAUAAAUAAAUAUGAAACUUGUCUAAAA